GCUUGUCUCAAAGAUUAAGCCAUGCAUGCAUGUCUAAGUAUAAACGACUUUAUACUGUGAAACUGCGAAUGGCUCAUUAUAUCAGUUAUAGUUUAUUUGAUGGUCCUUGCUACUUGGAUAACCGUAGUAAUUCUAGAGCUAAUACAUGCAUCAAACCCCGACUUCUGGAAGGGGUGUAUUUAUUAGAUUGAAACCAAUGCGGGGCAACCCGGUAUCUGGUGAUUCAUAAUAACUUUCGGAUCGUCUUUGACGAUGCAUCAUUCAAGUUUCUGCCCUAUCAGCUUUGGAUGGUAGGGUAUUGGCCUACCAUGGCUUUAACGGGUAACGGAGAAUUAGGGUUCGAUUCCGGAGAGGGAGCCUGAGAAAUGGCUACCACAUCCAAGGAAGGCAGCAGG
rnacentral:rRNA from 1 species